rnacentral:lncRNA from 1 species
AUAUUUUUACCUCUAGUGAUUGCCGGUCUCUCAUGUGGUGAGUGUGACAGAGUUGGGCGGCCCCUCCUCCUCAUGGUUCUCAUUGCUGGGGCCAAGUCACACAAUCGAUCGUGACGCGCGGUUGAUCUUGCUGGUUGUUUUCGGCAGUAGACUCACUAUUGGUGACUUUUUUUUUACAUUUCGUUUAUAAAAAAAGGGUUAGCAAAAUUGAAAAAAAAAAGAGAAAAAAUCGUGUUUUUACAGCCGCCCCCUUGGUAUGUAUACAUGUGUUCGGCACCGGUGACAAGUGGCUGUCCUGGCAACCCGAGGGAGGAAGUGCUACCAUCGGAAAGUGGAAAUAUUUCUGCCUGAAGUUCUCUGGUGAAGUUCGUCCACUUCGUUUCUUGCGCAACUCCAGCGGUUGAUUUCCUUCCACCUCUGGAUGGAAGUCAAUUAAUUAAGGUCCUCAGUAUGUAGAUAAGGAGGCCUCGGAAGGAAACAAGUAAAUAAAACUCUCCGCCAGGCUGCCUUACCUGAUCGACUGGGAAAAGGAUCAUAGACGCAGGUCGACGCAACAGCUGCCGCCGCCAUGUCGCUGGAAAUCCACGUCGCCAGGGCUUCGAACCUACAGAACCUUGAGAAUUUCGGCAAAAGUGAUCCUUACGUAACUUCC